rnacentral:rRNA from 1 species
UACGGGGGGAGCAAGCGUUGUUCGGAUUUACUGGGCGUAAAGGGCGCGUAGGCGGUCAGCACAAGUCAGUUGUGAAAUCUCCGGGCUUAACUCGGAAAGGUCAACUGAUACUGUGCGACUAGAGUGCAGAAGGGGCAACUGGAAUUCUCGGUGUAGCGGUGAAAUGCGCAGAUAUCGGGAGGAACACCCGUGGCGAAGGCGGGUCUCUGGGACGGUACUGACGCUGAGACGCGAAAGCGUGGGGAGCGAACAGG